rnacentral:rRNA from 1 species
AUUGAACGCUGGCGGCAGGCCUAACACAUGCAAGUCGAGCGGAUGACGGGAGCUUGCUCCUUGAUUCAGCGGCGGACGGGUGAGUAAUGCCUAGGAAUCUGCCUGGUAGUGGGGGACAACGUUUCGAAAGGAACGCUAAUACCGCAUACGUCCUACGGGAGAAAGCAGGGGACCUUCGGGCCUUGCGCUAUCAGAUGAGCCUAGGUCGGGUUAGCUAGUAGGUGAGGUAAUGGCUCACCUAGGCGACGAUCCGUAACUGGUCUGAGAGGAUGGUCAGUAACACUGGAACUGAGAGACGGGCCAGACUCCUACGGGAGGCAGAAGUGGGGAAUAUUGGACAAUGGGCGAAGGCCUGAUCCAGCCAUGCCGCGUGUGUGAAGAAGGUCUUCGGAUUGUAAAGCACUUUAAGUUGGGAGGAAGGGCAGUAAGUUAAUACCUUGCUGUUUUGACGUUACCGACAGAAUAAGCACCGGCUAACUCUGUGCCAGCCGCCGCGGUAA